rnacentral:rRNA from 1 species
UACGUAGGGUGCAAGCGUUAAUCGGAAUUACUGGGCGUAAAGCGUGCGCAGGCGGUUGUGUAAGACAGAUGUGAAAUCCCCGGGCUCAACCUGGGAACUGCAUUUGUGACUGCACAGCUGGAGUGCGGCAGAGGGGAUGGAAUUCCGCGUGUAGCAGUGAAAUGCGUAGAUAUGCGGAGGAACACCGAUGGCGAAGGCAAUCCCCUGGGCCUGCACUGACGCUCAUGCACGAAAGCGU